rnacentral:rRNA from 1 species
GACGAACGCUGGCGGCGUGCUUAACACAUGCAAGUCGAACGGUGAAGCGCCUUCCUUUUUGGUGGGUGUGGAUGAGUGGCGAACGGGUGAGUAACACGUGAGUAACCUGCCCCCUUCUUCUGGAUAACCGCAUGAAAGUGUGGCUAAUACGGGAUAUUCUGGGUCUGUCGCAUGAUGGGUCUGGGAAAGAUAUUGUUUCGGUGGUGGAUGGGCUCGCGGCCUAUCAGCUUGUUGGCGGGGUGAUUGCCUACCAAGGCUGUGACGGGGAGCCGGCCUGAGCGGGUGCACGGUCACACGGGGAAUGAGACACGGCCAAGCCUGCUACGGGAGGCAGCAGUGGGGAAUAUUGCACGAUGGGCGGAAGACUGAUGCAGCGACGCCGCGUGAGGGAUGGAGGCCUUCGGGGUGUGAACCUCUUUCGCCAGUGAAGCAGGCCUGCCUCGUAUGUGGGUGGGUUGACGGUAGCUGGAUAAGAAGCGCCGGCUAACUACGUG